rnacentral:tRNA from 1 species
GCCUGGGUGGCUCAGUCGGUUAAGCAUCGGACUCUUGAUCUCAGCUCAGGUCACGAUCUCAUAGUUCGUGAGUUCAAGCCUCACAUCAGGCU